rnacentral:rRNA from 1 species
GCGCACCAGGCGAGAAACCUUCGCAAUGCGGGAAACCGCGACGAGGGGACUCCCAGUGCCUACGCUCAGCGUAGGCUGUUCCCGAGCCUAGAAAGCUCGGGGAGUAAGGGCUGGGUAAGACGGGUGCCAGCCGCCGCGGUAAUACCCGCAGCCCGAGUGGUGGCCACUAUUAUUGGGCCUAAAGCGUCCGUAGCCGGCCCGGUAAAUGCCUGGGUAAAUCGUGAGGCCUAACCUCACGAAUUCCGGGUAGACUGCCGGGCUAGGGACCGGAGGAGGGAGAGGGUACUCCAGGGGUAGGGGUGAAAUCCUGUAAUCCCUGGAGGACCACCGGUGGCGAAGGCGCUCUCCUAGGACGGGUCCGACGGUGAGGGACGAAAGCCAGGGGAGCGAACCGGAUUAGAUACCCGUGUAG